rnacentral:rRNA from 1 species
UACAGAGGUGGCAAGCGUUGUUCGGAAUUACUGGGCGUAAAGGGCGAGUAGGUGGCCAUCUAAGUCAGACGUGAAAUCCCCCGGCUUAACCUGGGAACUGCGUCUGAUACUGGACGGCUUGAGUAUGGGAGAGGAACGUAGAAUUCCAGGUGUAGCGGUGAAAUGCGUAGAUAUCUGGAGGAAUACCGGUGGCGAAGGCGGUUCUCUGGGCAUUACCUGACGCUGAGGAGCGAAAGCAUGGGGAGCGAACAGG